rnacentral:rRNA from 1 species
UCCUACGGGAGGCAGCAGUGGGGAAUAUUGCACAAUGGGCGAAAGCCUGAUGCAGCAACGCCGCGUGAGGGACGACGGCCUUCGGGUUGUAAACCUCUUUUAGUAGGGAAGAAGCGAAAGUGACGGUACCUGCAGAAAAAGCACCGGCUAACUACGUGCCAGCAGCCGCGGUAAUACGUAGGGUGCAAGCGUUGUCCGGAAUUAUUGGGCGUAAAGAGCUCGUAGGCGGUUUGUCGCGUCUGCUGUGAAAACCCGAGGCUCAACCUCGGGCCUGCAGUGGGUACGGGCAGACUAGAGUGCGGUAGGGGAGAUUGGAAUUCCUGGUGUAGCGGUGGAAUGCGCAGAUAUCAGGAGGAACACCAAUGGCGAAGGCAGAUCUCUGGGCCGUAACUGACGCUGAGGAGCGAAAGCAUGGGGAGCGAACAGGAUUAGAUACCCUGGUAGUCCAUGCCGUAAACGUUGGGAACUAGAUGUGGGGACCAUUCCACGGUCUCCGUGUCGCAGCUAACGCAUUAAGUUCCCCGCCUGGGGAGUACGGCCGCAAGGCUAAAACUCAAAGGAAUUGACGGGGGCCCGCACAAGCGGCGGAGCAUGCGGAUUAAUUCGAUGCAACGCGAAGAACCUUACCAAGGCUUGACAUAUAGAGGAAACGUCUGGAAACAGUCGCCCCGCAAGGUCUCUAUACAGGUGGUGCAUGGUUGUCGUCAGCUCGUGUCGUGAGAUGUUGGGUUAAGUCCCGCAACGAGCGCAACCCUCGUCCUAUGUUGCCAGCACGUAAUGGUGGGAACUCAUGGGAUACUGCCGGGGUCAACUCGGAGGAAGGUGGGGAUGACGUCAAAUCAUCAUGCCCCUUAUGUCUUGGGCUUCACGCAUGCUACAAUGGCCGGUACAAAGGGCUGCAAUACCGCAAGGUGGAGCGAAUCCCAAAAAGCCGGUCUCAGUUCGGAUUGAGGUCUGCAACUCGACCUCAUGAAGUCGGAGUCGCUAGUAAUCGCAGAUCAGCAACGCUGCGGUGAAUACGUUCCCGGGCCUUGUACACACCGCCAU